AGCCGGGAAGCCGAAAACGGUAACAAAGAGUAGGCA
rfam:Flavobacterium akiainvivens strain IK-1 scaffold00001, whole genome shotgun sequence.